rnacentral:tRNA from 1 species
GGACCGGUAGCUCAGCGGUAGAGCGGCGGCCUUUUAAGCCGUCUGUCGUGGGUUCGAUCCCCACUCGGUUCA